AUGGAGGCGGCGGCAUCGCACGCAUGUGAUUGGUCCUCUCUCCCGGUGGACGUUCUCGUCCAGAUCCUGGAUCAUCUGCGGUGGUCGAGCCACCCGAGCUUCGGCCUAGUGUGCCGGCAGUGGCAAUCCGCGCGCGCCUUCUCGCCCUUCUACCCCGCGUGGAUCACUCCUCUGCUCCUCAACGCCACCGACGUCGGAGCCACCAACCUGCGCUACUACAGCCCCUACUACCACAAGAACUUCGAGACCGCCUCCACGCUCAGGACGCCCGACGUCAAGAUCGCCUGCGCCACCGGAGAACACCUGGCGCUAUGCUCCGAGGACCUAAUCAUCCACGCCCAGCUCUUGUCCGGCGACGUCCACGAGCUGCCGCCGACCAAGAACGCCAUGUUCGACUCCGUUGUCUAUGACGGCGUGCGCACCAUGUUCGGCGUCGACACUCAGUUUGGCAUGCUAGGAAUCGCCCGUUGCAUCCGAGACAACACCGUCGACGCAUGGGGGGACUGGGACUUCGCGAGUUCUGACCAUGACCAACCAAGGUUUUUGACAUCGCAGGAUUGCAACCCGGUACUCCGUGACGGCUUCCUCUAUCUGCUGGGGAAAGAUGGCGCGCUCGCGGUGUACGACGGCAGCAGGCACGACGAAGGAUUUAAUAUUCUCGAGAAGCCCCAGGGUUUCAUGUUCGACCACAAACAUAGCUACUUGGUCAAGUCUCGAGGUGAGCUGAUGGCCGUCCUCAUUGGCCAUCGCGGGACGCCCGUCAACGUCGUCAAGCUGAAUGAGCACACGAUGCAGUGGGAGAAAACGGAAAGCCUAGAGGGGAGGGCCUUGUUCACUGGCACCUCGACAACGACGGUGAAGAAGACUAAUAUCAAAUGGAUGCAGAACAAGAUUUUCCUCCCGAGGCUCCAUGAUUGGCCUCAGAACGUACAUGUUGACCUGGUCCAACGUGAAGAUGAUGUUGCCUUUGUCCCGAAAGAUGGACACGCAGAUACCACGGUGAAGCAUGACGAUUUUGGGACAAAAGUCAUGUGGUCUUAUGAGUUGGGACAGCCUCAAGAGGCAAUGGAGUUUUGGGGGACAGAGAGAGUUAAUUAUGGUAUCUGGAUCAAUUUUAGCACAUAG
rnacentral:rRNA from 1 species